GGGACAUCCUCUUCCUCAACGAGUCUUCGUGGAGCCUUCACAGCGCGCUUGGACCUCUCCAUGAUGCAACCUGCAAGACAAGAAACAGGAGGCUAUCAAAGUUGGCGAGCAUCUGAAGGAGAUGGUGGGGAAUGGCCAGCAGAAUAAACAACACCUUCCUGCAGCCGGUAAUACGAGUGGAGAGUCAGCUGCUACAAUUCAAACUAGGACAGAGAUUCCGAGUAUGUCAGCUGCACCUUUACAAUUGGAAAACAGUUAACCACAGCUCUGAGAUUGCGGUAAUGAUUGCAGUGUAAAUUUAGCUCAACUUGUAAUAUUAGCACAAUUAAAAAGGAGCGAAAACGAUUGCGAGAGGAGAGACAUGAUGAGCUGCCCUGGAUUCCGGCCGACCUAGAGAUCCGUGAGAGAGGAUGGCCAGGAGGGAGUAAUGACACCUGACCUGGCACAGAGACUAAGCAAAGAGAGAGCCCAUCAGAUAUGAAUGUCGUAUGAUCAAGCCCCUGAGUUUAAGUUUACAAGAGGUGUAUCUGGCGAGUGGUUACAAUACUUGCCUAGGCUUCUUCACUGUACCAUACUUGUCUUCCAUCUCUGGAAUAGGGUUAUUCUGCUAACUUAGAGCUAACAAGAUGCUUGGUGCGACUAUUAUAUUGACUCUAGCAUCUAUAAGUAUGAUAGCAUAUAUAUCACUCAUGUUUUUUGUUUUCUUUUCAUUGUGCAAAUAUACGUAGAAUUGGAGUAAGCUGGGUUUUAAUUUUCAAAAAUGCUUCCUACCAAGAUGUAUACUGUUCAAUUUCUGCCCCUCAGAUGAUGUCCUUUAGAUCUGAUUUGUGAGCACCCAUGAGAUCUCCAUUGGGUUAUCCUAUAAAUAGGUAGACAAUCUUAUUUAUAUUAUUUUAUUGUAUAAUGUACUAAGCAUUUAUGCCCCUUUGGAUAACACAUACAAUUUAUGUCUGAGUGCAGUAGCACAACCGGACUGCUUUGCUGCACAAAACUACAGGGGUGAACUGCUUUCACUGAACACCAUGCAAUACUAAAGCCAAGCUGGCAUAGGCUAAACCGCAAUGCAACUGAGUUGCAUGAGCUAUAAGUUUCUUGGUUAAUUUUCUAGACCUUUACAAUUGGUUUAUGUUGCUAAACAGAAUCUGUUAACACGUAUGUGUGUUCAUUAUAAGUGUUAUUGGUCAGAGAGUGUUCUUUUUUGGAACUAAUCACUAUAGCUUUACCUGCACAGCCUAACCCAAUAUAGGUAUUGAAGUAUUAUGAGCCCUUGUCAAAGCUACAAGUUUCCUCCUAUAGUGCACAAUAUUAUUACUUCUGUUAGGUCUAUACCAUAUACGUCUCCAAAAUAGUAUUUAUAUGUAUAUUGUUUGGCAGUACUGACUCAUUUUAUAUAAAUAGUAUGCUGUCUGCGGCCAGGACAGCAUGAAGUGACCAUACUAUAGAAUACAGCCAAACUUACAACCCAGGCUCUAAUUAUCUAAUUAUAUAGACUUAGGUCUUAGACACAAAACUAUUGUUGUACAUUACAGGAAUAACAAACACAUAUUAUAGAGGGCUUACAGAUCUUUAUUAGUCCAUGAAUAUCUCACGACUGAGGAUUUACCAUUAUAUCCAUACUUAUAUUUAUAUACUUUGCUUAGUAAUACCAGUUCCCUUGUACAUAAAUGGGCAAAAGUUAUUGAUUAUGUUUGCUACCUGUAGAUACAACUUAUCAACUCGAAUAUUUAAUAUCUCUAUGAGAACAUAUAUUUUUACUGUAUCUAAAUUGUAGGCGCAAUACAUAUUGGGGAUUUAGAACUACUAUUGUCCUACACUUUACCGUUAGGAUGUGGUACACAGGGUGGGCCUAUUUCUACAAUAUAUACAAGAUAUAUAAUGUUCCUUAGUAACCUUAUCAAGAAGUCAACUAACUAAUGGCUUGGAAUAUUAAUUAAAACUUUGGCCCAAAGAGGUUAUU